GCCUUCGUGGUGUAAUGGUCUGCAUUCUCGACGCGUAACCGAGAGGUCCGUGGUUCGAUUCCCGGCGAAGGCG
rnacentral:tRNA from 1 species